AAUUUAUAUAACUGAACUAAAUGAGUAAGUAACUAAGCCAUAUUCCAAGCCAACCAAGCCAAAACUUUGUUAUGUGAGAGAAAAAGUUACUUUCCAUGAGCCAUUUGGUUCCAAUAAACUGAUUUGGUUAGAAUUCAAAAAAUUCAGUUUUGAUCUUAAAUUUAACAUGUGACCUACCCAUCACACAUCACUCUUUUUUCUUUACCCACUUUCACUUCUCCCAAUACUGACAAAUCUCUAUCACUAUUUUUUCAAAUUAAAAAAACAUUUCCCCCUCUUUAGUAAUUGAAAUUUGAUUAUAUACUCAUUCAAAAUUUCAAUCACUUUCUCAUAUCUUCUACUUUUUCUGGUUUUUUAUUAAUUUCUCUCAUCAGUAAGUAUAUUUUCUUUAAUAUAUAAUUUAUGUUUUGCAAAAAAAAUAAUAAAAACCCAAUGUCAAAUUUAAAAUACUUUUUGACCCACAUUUCCCUCUCAUUGUGGAAUUCAAAUUUUGAAUUCAAUGCUAUAUUACCUUCUCUCACCAACAUAAAUUAGAAACAAAUGAACCUCUCUUAAUUUUCUCAUUCUCUCACAAUUCUUUCCUUCAUCAUCUUUUACUACAAUUCUAUAAUAACUUGAUUUUUUGUUUGUUUUGCAGAAAGAUUAAAAUAUAUUCAUCUCCAUCUAACAACAACGCGGGAAAGUUGAAAGUAUUUCAGUGAUAACAUCAAACAAGAACACGUGAAAGUAGAAUAGUAUAACAUUUUUCAUGAUUGAACAAAUUCUACUUCAAGAUUCAUGAAAAAAUUCUACUUCAAGAUAGGGAGAUGUUGAAAACAGUGGUUUUGCAUCAAACAACUUUCAAAGAUUCAAGUAACCAAGACCCAAAAAUUAUUCAUGAUAAAAACAAAAGAUGAACACGGGAAACAAAACACUACCAAGGAAGAUCGCGAGAAAAGAAAACACAUACCAAGAAAGUGGAAGAAUUUGAUUUUGAUAACAUUUCUGAGUGAUUAUAUGGCAGGGACGGUGGCCGGCCGCCGGAAACAGAGUUGAGAAAGAGUGAAGGAGGGAGUAAGAGAGAGAAAGAAAAAUGGAAAAUGAAGGAUCUGCGAAGAAAAAGUGUAUAUAUACCCAAUGUGAUCCAAUGUGCAAGUGUCCACGGCUGCACACCGUAAGCUUUCCAUCAUCACCGCUUAUCUUCAUCAGACACAUAUAUCUUUCUUUCCCUGUUCAGAUCAGGAUCAUCUGAUCAAUCUGACGAAGAUGAGAAGAUGAAGCCACACCCAAGAUCAGGGAACAAGUAUCUCCAAUUUUUUCAUAAUCCAUUUUUAGACAAAUUAUACUACUCAUUCAUGUAAUUGAUAACAGUUUCAAAAUAGCUAACAUUUACAUUAAAUAAAUCAUAUAUGAGACAAAUAUGCUAUUAAUUCAUAGUACUCAUACUGAUUAAAUAAAUCUAACU